rnacentral:rRNA from 1 species
CCUACGGGCGGCAGCAGUGAGGAAUAUUGGUCAAUGGACGCGAGUCUGAACCAGCCAAGUAGCGUGAAGGAUGACUGCCCUAUGGGUUGUAAACUUCUUUUAUAUGGGAAUAAAAUGUUCCACGUGUGGGAUUUUGUAUGUACCAUAUGAAUAAGGAUCGGCUAAAUCCGUGCCAGCAGCCGCGGUAAUACGGGGGAUCCGAGCGUUAUCGGGAUUUAUUGGGGUUAAAGGGAGCGUAGGUGGGUUGUUAAGUCAGUUGUGAAAGUUUGCGGCUCAACCGUAAAAUUGCAGUUGAAACUGGCAGUCUUGAGUACAGUAGAGGUGGGCGGAAUUCGUGGUGUAGCGGUGAAAUGCUUAGAUAGCACGAAGAACUCCGAUUGCGAAGGCAGUUCACUGGACUGCAACUGACACUGAGGCUCGAAAGUGUGGGUAUCAAACAGGAUUAGAUACCCCAGUAGUC